rnacentral:rRNA from 1 species
GAUGAACGCUGGCGGCGUGCCUAAUACAUGCAAGUCGAGCGAACAGACGAGGAGCUUGCUCCUCUGACGUUAGCGGCGGACGGGUGAGUAACACGUGGAUAACCUACCUAUAAGACUGGGAUAACUUCGGGAAACCGGAGCUAUACCGGAUAAUAUAUUUAACCGCAUGGUUCAAUAGUGAAAGACGGUUUUGCUGUCACUUAUAGAUGGAUCCGCGCCGCAUUAGCUAGUUGGUAAGGUAACGGCUUACCAAGGCAACGAUGCGUAGCCGACCUGAGAGGGUGAUCGGCCACACUGGAACUGAGACACGGUCCAGACUCCUACGGGAGGCAGCAGUAGGGAAUCUUCCGCAAUGGGCGAAAGCCUGACGGAGCAACGCCGCGUGAGUGAUGAAGGUCUUCGGAUCGUAAAACUCUGUUAUUAGGGAAGAACAAAUGUGUAAGUAACUAUGCACGUCUUGACGGUACCUAAUCAGAAAGCCACGGCUAACUACGUG